rnacentral:rRNA from 1 species
AUACGUAGGGGGCGAGCGUUGUUCGGAAUGACUGGGCGUAAAGGGCGCGUAGGCGGCCUGUCAAGUUGGGAGUGAAAUUCCUGCUUUCAAGGUGGGAACUGCUUUCAAAACUGUCGGGCUUGAGUGCGGAAGAGGUAAGUGGAAUUCCCAGUGUAGCGGUGAAAUGCGUAGAGAUUGGGAGGAACACCAGUGGCGAAGGCGACUUACUGGGCCGUAACUGACGCUGAGGCGCGAAAGCGUGGGGAGCAAACAGGAUUAGAUACCCUGGUAGUCCACGCGGUAAACGAUGAGUGCUAGGUGUAGGGGGUAUCGACCCCUCCUGUGCCGCAGCAAACGCAAUAAGCACUCCGCCUGGGGAGUACGGCCGCAAGGUUGAA